GUCUUCGUAGCUCAGCUGGAUAGAGCAUACGCCUUCUAAGCGUACGGUCGCGCGUUCGAAUCGCGCCGAGGACACCA
rnacentral:tRNA from 4 species